UACGGAGGGUGCGAGCGUUGUCCGGAAUCACUGGGCGUAAAGGGCGCGUAGGUGGCCCCUUAAGUGUGUGGUGAAAGCCCGGGGCUCAACCCCGGGUCGGCCCAUGCAAACUGGGGGGCUGGAGCACUGUAGAGGCGAGGCGGAAUUCCGGGUGUAGCGGUGGAAUGCGUAGAGAUCCGGAAGAACACCGGUGGCGAAGGCGGCCUGCUGGGCAGUGCUGACACUGAGGCGCGACAGCGUGGGGAGCAAACAGGG
rnacentral:rRNA from 1 species